CCACUGUAAUUGGCAUCAGUUUAAUUCGAAUUUUCGAGUCAAGGACAACCACAACCAACCAACAAAUCAAAAUGGAAAUCAUCAAAAUUGCUCUACUUGUCGCAGCUGCUGUGUUCGCUGUUCUGGGAGGUUGUCAAGCGGAGCCGAUUCGCGAUAUUAAAGGAAACGUGACAGGCAGUGUUACUGAUAAUUCACAGGGCCACAAAUGG